CUUACAAUUUAUUGGCUUAACCGCUUUUCUUGUCUUACAUUCUGAUUCUUUCAAUGUCCUUUCUAGAACGACUCCUCAAAUAAAUUACUGGUACUGAAAUUCUUUUCUCAGGGUCUGCUUUUAGGAAUGACAGGGUGAGAAAGGGGCAAAUUUGGUGCCUGACAUGGCCUGGGCCAAAACAUGUUCUCCAGGAGAGCGAGCGCGUGGAGCCAUAGGGCGGCUCGCUGCCACCUAGAAACUGUCACCAAGCGCCAUGAAGGGAUACGGCAGGGCUGACUCUGUUGAAGUAUUUCAUCACUUGGAUCAUAAUAAGAUGAUUUGGUUACUCCUUUAUUCCUCUUUUGAAGAACCGAGGUCAUUUGAACAGCAGUUUACUACAGUCUGCAUUUUGCUGAUGGCUUACCAAUGGUUCGCUCAGUUCAACAUGACCCAUAUACUUCUUGCAAAUUGGAAGCUGGAUCCAGGAGUUUGAUCAGACACAGGUUCAUCUUGUUCAUUUCAUGCCUUCUACCUGGAACCAGCCAUUCUUCAAGAAACACUGAUUUCUUUGAACGGGAAAUGACUUUCAAGACAAAAGUAAAGCAAGCUUGUUUUCUCAGAAGACUCAAUGACAUCUGUGAGCACAGAUCUUCUGGUCCUCGUGGUGGGAGACUGAAGGGGCCAGCGGAGCUGAGCUGGCCCGAAGAGAUUUGGGUAAGGAAAGAAGAGAUGCCUCCCACCCUCUUCUCCACUCCUGGGGCUCCCUCAGCACUUUCUUCUCUCGCCUUCCAAAUCCUAGGAAGUGCAAAGCCUGCCUCCUCCGUGCUUUCCUUGAUACCUGGUCCCCCUCUAUCUGCUUUUUCUUUUCUAAUGGAAAAGCCCGUCUCUCUAGUUCUGAAAGUAGCACAAGAAUCCCACUGCCUUGCCGUAUCCUCUCAUUAUGAGUCUGAUGUCCUCCUCCCAACAGCAAGCUUGCAGGCCUAGCCGGGCCUUAAAGUUUUGAUUCUCCCUCUGUUCAGUGGUGGUUUUCCUUGUUAAUGAAGUGACUAAUGAAAGAACCACGGAGCCUAACAGUUCAGGGACUCAUUAUUCAGGCUGCUCCCUGACAGUAGGGAGGUGCGAGGUUACCUGUGGUUUAAGGAUCACUUGUUGGUCAUCAUUCUGGUCAUCCAUCUUCAAACAGCUUCAGGAAACAUACCGUAUUUUGCUGUGUAUCACGCACACUUUUUUUGCCCCAAUUUUUUAGGGAAAAAUAAGGAUGGGCAUUAUACAUGGGUAUAAUAAUUACAUACCCUGGGUAUACUAAUGAGUAUAAUGAUCCUGUGCAUAAUGCACACAAAAAAUGUGGGCUCGAAAAUACAGUAAAAUACGGUAGUGCUGCAGAGAGCACUUGUUUCUUAUCUGUGUUUAUGGUCACAUUAGACCAAAUGCAAAACGAAGGUCUUUCUGAGGGAUUCCAGGCCCUUUUCUGUGACAGAAACCGUUGUGAGGGGGUGGACACGGGAGGGCAGGGCAGAGUGUGGGGCUGGAGACACACCUGGCUAUUCCAGCUCUACCCAGCCCCCACCUGCCACACUUUGCUACAUGGUUUGUCCUUUUAUUCCCCAUCGCAGCCCCUAUGCUUUAAAAACAAUUUAAAAAAUUUAAAUUAUAGUUGACAUACACUAUCAUAUUAGGUAGAGGUGUACAGUUAAAUGGUUAGACCUUCACAUAAUUUACUAAGUCAUCCCCCAGUAAGUCUAGUGCCCACCUGGCCCAAUACAGAGUUAUUACAAUAUUAUUGGCCAUGUUUUUCCCAUGCUGGACUUGACAUCCCCGUGACUGUUUAUAUCACUGCCAAUUUGUCCAUCUUAAUCCCUUUCCCCAUUUCCAUCCAGCUCCCAAACCUCUUUCCCAUCUAGCAGUCAUCAAAAUGUCCCUGGUGUCUAUGAGUUGAUGUCUGUUUCGUUGUUGGUUUAUUUUGUUUUUUAGUACCUUCAAGGACUGCUUUGAAGAUGGGCACUUGGAAACGUGUGUUUAGCCUUUGUAAACACCCCCUCCAAGGCUUUGCAAAGUCAACAGGAGGCAUUUUAAUUAUAGUUAUUUGCUCUCCACCCAUGAGUUUGCAGACAACUGGAGGUCAGACGCCCUGGUCUCGUCUUGCCGUUGGGAGGGACUGGAGCAGCCAGAUCAGAUGGAGCUGGCCAGGCUACUAAUGGAUGCCCUGAAUGAACGUGAGGGCAGGUGAGGGCCUAGGGAUCAGAGCCCUGGGCCCUGCUGGCGUUGGGACACCAUGACGCCUGGGUGCAGGUCUUCGUCCUCCAUGACCUCAUCUGGCCCAGGAAAUGGCACCGCCUCCAUUCUGUCCAGUCCUUCAUCCUCUCUCAUCCAGUGGUCUCGUAAGGUGGCAGAAGCUGAGUUCCCAUUCAUCUUGGAUAAAAGGAAAUAAACAUAGCCAAGGGUAAUGACAUUGCCCGAAGUCACACGGCCAGCAAGAUAAUUCAGAAGAGUCAACAGAAGCCCAGUUCCCGAAAGCAAGUGGAAAGCAUAGAUCUAGGGAUAAGGUUAAGAAGGCUAAGAAAAAGCCCCACCAGGAACAGACUUGGUUGUUUGGCAGCAAUUGCCUCUGAGGUUAUCCACUCUAUUCUGUGUUUACUGGGGGAAUGCAACCGGCCUUUAGUCCGCUGCCAGGAGACGAAAACCACCCAGAGAGAUGGAAGAUGGUCUGCUAGAGUCUGAAAAAAUAGAGUGGACAUGGUGCAGUGCUUUGUGCAAAGAGGAAAGGUGGAACUAAUGUGGAUUCUGGGAAUACAGUGGGAGAGGGAGAUUUUGCUCAUAAUUCUCAAGUGACUCUUCAGAGCAGAAAGAGACGGCUAUUACCAGAAAGAGAGGCCGUGCCUACAGGCCCAAGUGUUAGGGUCAAUUGGAUAAUUCAUUGGCAUUAAAGCCUCAGCUCAGAUAAAACAUCCCUCAAGGACAUCUGCCUUUCUGCACUCCGAUUUCGUGCUUAACACAUCCCUUCUGUUCACUAAUUUGGUUUCUUACAUAUUUUUUUAAAGGGAAAUAUUCUCUUGAUAAUGGAUCUGGCUAUUCUAGUUACUACAAAGAAGCCUUGUUCUUUGUAAAUCUAUACAUCGCUAUGGCAGCUUUUAAGCUGGUUUCUUUUAAAUUUGGUCUGUUGGAAAAGUUCUCUGAAUCUAGUCAAGUGCAUUUGAAUUCUGAUUGACUUAGCUUUUUUAGAUCACACAAAUAAUUCAUAUAUACUUUCUCACUGUAAAAGAUUCAAAAGAUUGAAAUAAAGUAGAAAUGAAAGCUCCUUUUAUCACCAGACCUCUAUCCCACUCCCAGCCUCAGGGAUAAUAAUUCUUAGGGGUCCAGUAUGUAGCUGUCAGACCCUUUUCUAUACAUUUAUAGAGAGGUGCCUAUUGUAUAUGUUGCAAAUAUUUUCUCAUCAGCCAUCACAUCUGUAUUAACUCCAAUUGUGGUGUCUUUUGUCAAGUAGACAUUUUCUUCAUGACUAUAGGUUUGGUGUCUCGUUUAAGAAGAAAACAUUAAUAUCUUAACUAGAAAAAUUGUACAUUCCUGUCUGACCCUGGUAAGAAAUAGCCUAAGUGACCUUGAGUGAGUCCAACACUCCUUUGAGCAUUAGUUUUCUAUCAUUACAUUCUUAUCAAAGUAAUGAAUUUUUUCAUUCCCAAUUCAUUUACUGUGGACCACAUUAUGCCACACCUAGAUGCUGGGGACACCUAAAUGAAUGUGACAUUCAAGGAAUAUACAGUCUAAUGGGAGGCGUGGGUGAAGAAACAGCUGUAGCAAUAACCACGAAGAAGGACAUGGGCGAGCAUAGACUUUUGUGCAGAAUCUCAUGGGAGCUGGUGGGAGGAACCAAGUGGUUUCGUAGGGCUUGUCCAAGUGAGGUCGAAGAACGGGAAGGGCAUGGUGGGCGGGCGGAGCCACAGGUACAGAGGCUGGAAGACAAGAGCGAGAAACUGCCAACACGCAACGGGAGUGACGACGGUGAUGAGCUCUGAGUCUGGAGAGGUCAGCAGGGCCUGUCGUCACCCAUAUCAUUGAGUUUAGCCUUUUUAAUGAGGACACCCAAGAACGCUUGGAGUUGGAAGCAGGACAGUGAGAUGUGGACUGACCUUUAGCAGAGACCCCUUUGGCCAGCCCAUGGAGAGGGGGUCAGAACAGGGCGCGAUCAGAGGCAGGGAGGCCAUGGGGAAAGAGACGGCAGCAGGGGAAAUAAAGGAGCAGCAGAGGAGACGGACGCACUGGGCAGAUUUGGGAAAUGCGCCUGCCUUCCCCACAGCUCAAAUGUGUUGUUUAUGAACUAAAAUAUUCCACUUCCUAAUGGAGUUGUAAGCACUGUGACAGGCCAGCAGGAAUAUCUCUGAACAGAGAAGACUUCCUGGAAGAAGCAAGGGUUACUAUAGUUGAAGUACACAUUUACUAUGUAUUCAGACCAUGCUUAUUCCACCCUUCACACUUUGAUCUUCUUUAUAUGACUGUGAACGUGAGAAUCAAGCAUCAGCCUGUCUGCCCUGCCCCGCCCUUUUCCCUACCGGCCCUAUUCCCGUGUUGGUUUUCUCCUGUGUGUGUGUUAGGAAACAGAGGGCUUGUUGUCCAUCUUGCCUCCCACUCGCAGCCCUGAUAUUGGCCGCCACUCACCUCACAAUUGUUCACUACUUGAAAACCUGGACCAGUGCGUGAGUCAAACCCCUCAACCAAGGGGCCAGAGGAGGUGUGAAUGGGAAAAGGGAAAGCUCUCUGAUGUUUUUUCAUCUUUUUAUUCUACAUGACACCACCUCUCAGAGUGAUUGAGGGACUUCACACUUUACUAAAGUGUUACCCUCAGUCAAAGAGAAUUAUAGAAGAGCAAAUGAUCAGAGCUGUAAUAGAUUUUUGACAUCGCUUCAAGGGAUCAGUGUUUCUCCCUGGUCUACCCUCAUCCCCAGCUCUGCUCCUGCUUCCUGCUCCCAAGCGAGGCACCAAGCGAGGUAUCAUGGGGGAGAGGACAUGCCCUUUGCCAGGAGCAAAGCUUUUCCUGUUGUAGCAUUAACCUGAAUUCAGCUCGGUCACUCAGAAGUGGAAAAACUACUGAACAGCAUUUCCCUGACCUGCUGCUGGCUAAUAGCCCCAACUGCUCAUGUUUUAGGAAAUCCAUCCCAGACAACGAGGUACAUUACGUGGGAGCCCCUGGGUUAGCAUUGUCUUCCCUUCCUGCUCUCUCAACGAGAGUGAGCCUGCCCUGCUAUGCAGACAGGCUCUGCGGGGCCAAAGCCCUGAGUGUGCCUGGCCACAGUGACAGAAAACGACUAUCAUCUUGAUGCUGCCAAUUGCCUUCGGCCUGACGUUUUGGUGGUCCUUUCAAAGAAAGCCAAGUUUGUUGACAUUCUUUUAAAAAAAUCUUUUAUUUAUCGACUUGAGAAAGAGAGAGGAACAUAGCUAUGCUGUUUCACUUAUUUAUGCAUUCACUGGUGGUUUCUCACAUGUGCCCUGACCUUGGGGCUAACCCACAACCUUGGUACGUGGGGAUUAUGCUCCAACCACCUGAGCUAUCUGGUCAGGGCCUAAGUUUGUUGACGUUUCUGAGUUUGGUUAUCAAAGACCCCAGGAAGCCCCUCCAUUAUUUGGCUGACAUCAAUUGCAUCUAUUUCUGUCCCUCAUGAUUAAAAAUAAGCUGAGUUGUUGGUGCUUUGGCCUAAAGAUGCCCAGUUUCACCCAUGUGACAGGUAGGCCUUAAACGGCAACAUGCUGAGGACAGGUGGAUGGGAAAGGGAACAAGUGGAAAUCCAUUGAGAAAGUUAUAAAAAUAUAUUUAUAUAUUUACAUGUGCUGUCUUAUUUGAUCCUGAAAUGAGGGGGACAUUUUGAUAUUUAUUUUAAAGAUGAGAAAACUGAAGUUCAAAGAUUGAGAAACCUGCCCAAGUGGUACAGGUUGGGGGGAGAAGGUAUGUGGACUGAUGUGAUGCGAGACCUCCGUGUUCCGACACCGUGGGCUGGAUCCCACGGUAUUCGCCUGCCCCUGGACAGGAGGUGCCAUUAACCGGGGAAGCCAGUGACCAGGGCCAGGUGAGUUUCCAGCUUGGUUUUGAAGAAGGGGAAAGAUGAGAUCUGGCAAACAGAGAAGAGUGGCGUUUGCUUUGGGGGUGGGACAAGGGAUUUAUUAAAUCUUGCACAUUAAGUGCAUCUGAUUGGGAGAUAGCAUUAGCACAGGGAACUUUUGUGUUUGAGCUGCAAUCAGCUUAGCAUUAUGGACUGUUAGCCUCUGGGUCUGCGCACAGUCACAGCGUUGAGUACCAUGGUCUCCAGUUCUGUUAGGAACUGGGAGCUGAGGAAAGCCAGGACUGCCGUGGGCUGGACAAUGGGAACCUGACUUUUUCUUUUCUCUUAGAGCUUGAAAGAACCCCUGUCAGGACCAGGAGCAUCAGCUGGGCACCGUGGGGCUAUUUGCAGCUUGACAGCCUCUGCUGAAUUAUUGAUGUCCCUCACCGGCCCUAGGACCUCCCCCUUGUUAACAAAUCUCACUCGGUAUUAAAAUUUAAAAAGGCAGAUGAGUGCAAUCUCUCGCCCUAUUAUUCCCCUCUUCUUUUACCAUCUGAGCUCUCAUUUUUAAGUCAAUCAGCCUGAAAGGCUUCCCUUGGGGGUUGGCACAGCUCAGAGAGCCAAGUUCAGGACAAGAAAAUUGAAGGCCGUGAGUAGGACUGUGACUUGAGUCUGGGGUCAUCUGCAGAGCCUGAGCUACUCAGGGCUGGGGAAGCUCUGACCCACGUCUUUUCCUUACAGUAAGGAGAACUGCCUGUAUAAAAAUCCUACAUGUAUCAAUGUUGUAUUUUCAUAAGAAACACAUAAGAAAAACAUGUCCAAUUUUCUGACUUCUACUGAAAAUCGGCAGCCGUGGGCUUUCAUUUCCACAUUGUGCCAUGUACAGGGGCUGACAGUGGCUACUCCUGUUAAUGAGGACUGGCCCCUUCGCUGGGCCUCAGUUUCUGUCACUCCCUCCUAGUGGCUGAAGCUGUGACCCUCGGUGUCAAAAAAGAUGGUGUACACAUUUUUUCACGUGCCUACUUAGGUCUGUGAGUGUUACAGAACAGAGGUCCAAGGGGGGGCAAUAUUUGGCCCACCCAGGGAUGCCAAAAACUGUUACAGAAAACAGGGGCCCCUCCCAAGGAUGGUAUACUAAUAUCUACCGGGCUCGUCUGUCCACCACCAAAGGAAAGACAUCUCUCAAUGCCAUAGAUUUGUGAAAAGGAAAGGAAAUGUUUAUUUAAAGCUGUACAGACUUAAAGUAGGGACCCAAUGUCCAAUAUAUCAAAGUCCUUUAAGAUAACCACAGAUGCCCUAAUUCAGGGUACCAUAUCUCAGGAAAAGAAGCACAGGUCUGUGUUUCAGGCUGCUGGUACUGUCAGCUGUAUUGCCAUCCAGGCAGGGUACCCAAUUAAUCCAACAUCAUGUGGUACCUUCUCAUGGUCCACUGGCAAGAGUUCUUUGUACCCAUUUUUCCAGGCAAAGUCUCUCCUGCUUCCUAGGCCACAUGGCCAAAGGGAGCACUCCAAGGCCUUGUGGGCAUCUUUUACCAAAGCUGCAGGGGUCUGCACUCCACCAAAAGCAUGUGGCUUUCUUCUUCACCUGGCUGCAGAGGUCCCCACUCUGACAAAGCCACGUGGUUCUCUUUCACCUGGGCAAGAGGGGGGUCCUCACUCUGCUAAAGCUGCGUGGCUCUCCCUCCAAUGGCUGCCGCGUCUGGGUUUAAAAUCUUUGCACCAAUCUUCCUCUGUACCCCUAUUUCCAACUCCUCCCAUGAUCAGUUAUACCUGCCAGUAUUUCUGUAUUAUUACAACUUUACUGGGCUGCCAUCGUGAGUCUGGGCAGGUAUUCCCAUGUCCUAGAGCCAAUCUUCUCCAAGGUCCCAUGCAGGCACUGUAACUCAGAGGACCUGCCCCCCAGUUACCUCUUGGGGGGAAGUGACUUCAUCCCUGUGGCUCCAAGCCUGGACACAGCCAUUUAACAUAUCCAAGAGACCUGCCAAAGGCUAUAGAUACAUUAAAUAACCAUGCCAUGGAUUAGCUGCAAGGCUGUGGCUGUAUAAAACAGCCCUGCAUGUUCCUGCUCCAUGUGUCCCUUCCCCCAACUCACACCUGUGGGGGUGAGGACAUCUUAUAUGUCUCUCCAAUAAUUCCUAUAUACCUUGAGUUCUGGACACCAUUCCAAAUCUCUUUUGGGGGCCCCCCUCUUGGCUGCACCCUGUAUCAUGAGGACUGCCUGUAGUGCCUCAAAGGGUCUGAUCAGCUGUGGGAGGCUGAAUCGCAGUCCCCAGUGGCCUGCCUCCCCUCCCCUGACAGAGGGUUGCGUGUCUUUGAGCACUGCUGUGUGGCUGUGUGCGUGGAUCAUUCCAGCAGAAGCUUUCAGAGGCAUCGUGGGUCAGCACCAGCUCCCAGGCUCCUUCCCUCUGCCUGGGGAACAGCACUCCCUAUGAUCCUUCAGCCUGGGCCCCAGAAAAGGGAAAGCACACACGGUACAGACCAGCAUCUGACUCGGAGCUGAGCCACAUACGGGAACAGAGCAGCAGCCAACUCCCAGCCUUUGGUGAUGGGAGCCACUGAGAACCGGGGGCAUUCCAGCAGGACUGGGCUUGCUAGGAAAGGGUCGUGUGAUGGAAAAGCAAGGUCUGCCUCUUUCUGAGGAGAGAAAAAUGAUGGCAUUGGGGUUUUAAUGUUAGUUUCGAUUGUCUUUAAUUAACAGUAACCUUGGAGGAUGCUGGAAAAACCAUGGUGGUGGAUCAGAAGAACUGGAUUGAGUUCCUGAAUGACCAUGUUAUAAAAUUUUGAAUAAUUUUCCUUACAGUAAAAAGAAUUGCCUUUGUAAAAAUUCUACACAUAUCAACGUUGUAUUUUCAGUUAAUUUUGUAACAGUAAAGAGGAAAUUGCAGAGUACUUGUCAUGUAAAUGGUGUCUAGCAUCCGAUUGAGUCUUUGCUAUUGUCUUCUUGUGAGGAUCAAAAGGCCUAAGUGUUUAAAGAAUGCUUCGGCAACAUCAAGUGAUGACAAACUCUGGUUGUCACUGGUUCGCAGCCCCUGACCCUUCCUUGUUCUUCAG